GAUGAACGCUAGCGGGAGGCUUAACACAUGCAAGUCGUGGGGCAGCAUUAGGUAGCAAUACUUAGAUGGCGACCGGCGCACGGGUGAGUAACGCGUAUGCAACCUACCCAGUACAGGGGGAUAGCCCGGAGAAAUUCGGAUUAAUACCCCAUAAUGAUAUAGAGAGGCAUCUUUUUAUAUUUAAAGCUUCGGCGGUACUGGAUGGGCAUGCGUAAGAUUAGCUAGUUGGUAGGGUAACGGCCUACCAAGGCUCCGAUCUUUAGGGGUCCUGAGAGGGUGAUCCCCCACACUGGUACUGAGACAAGGACCAGACUCCUACGGGAGGAAGCAGUGAGGAAUAUUGGGCAAUGGGCGCAAGCCUGAACCAGCCAUCCCGCGUGAAGGAAGAAGGCGCUAUGCGUUGUAAACUUCUUUUCCGGAGGAAUAAAAUCUUGUACGCGUACAGGACUGAAGGUACUCCGGGAAUAAGCAUCGGCUAACUCCGUGCCAGCCGCCGCCGCAGUAA
rnacentral:rRNA from 1 species